GCAUGGUUGUCGUCAGCUCGUGCCGUAAGGUGUUGGAUUAAGUCUCGCAACGAGCACAAGUGUAAAAUUAUUUUAUUGGAAAAAUGUAUGGUUGAAAAUGAGUUUGGGGAAAAUGAAUUUUUUUUUAUAAUGGGGCUCAAACAUUUGC
rnacentral:rRNA from 1 species